AGAGUUUGAUCAUGGCUCAGGACGAACGCUUGCGGCGUGCCUAAGAAAUGCAAGUCGAGCGGGGAGCUUCGGCUCCUAGCGGCGAACGGUCGCGUAACACGUAAGCAACCUGCCCCGAAGACCGGGACAACAGCUCGAAAGGGCUGCUAAUACCGGAUGUGGCUCUCUCUGGGCAUCCAGAGGGAACUAAAGCGAGCAAU
rnacentral:rRNA from 1 species